GUGGGUAUAGCUUAGUGGUAGAGCAUGUGCUUAGUUUGCAUGAGGUCCUGGGUUCAAUCCCCAGUAACUCUG
rnacentral:tRNA from 1 species